GAUAGGUCGGGGAGCUAGGGGUACCUUGCACCGCAAAUCCUCUUAGGCGGGACCGAAUGGCCGGGCAAGGUUCGCCCUUUGCCGCGGGACCCGUGCCGAAGCGUCGAAGCCCUGCCUCCAGAGAUGGGCUCUUAUGUGAACCGGGCCAGGCCGAAAGGAGCAACCCUAAAUAUUUGCGUCCAUGCUUUGGGGUAACGGGGUGGAGCCUAGGCGCGGAUAAUCUUACGGGGAAGGACGCAUCGAACUCGGCAAUC
rnacentral:SRP_RNA from 1 species